rnacentral:rRNA from 1 species
UAUUGGAACGUUAUCGAUAAGAAGAGAGCGUCUAGGCGAACAAUGUUCUUAAAGUUUGACCUCAAAUCAGGUAGGAGUACCCGCUGAACUUAAGCAUAUCAAUAAGCGGAGGAAAAGAAACCAACCGGGAUUGCCUUAGUAACGACGAGUGAAGCGGCAAAAGCUCAAAUUUGAAAUCUGGUACCUUCGG